GUGGCUUGUAUGGGGAGCUUAUCCCUGCUGCUCCUUAUAAAUAAACACACGGCGUGAGAUGAUUCCACACACCAGGAGGAAACCACUAAUGCUGAGCUUUGUGUUUUAAUAAGACGAGAGAACAUGCAGAGAAUACUAUUUGAUGCCGGUGUGGAGUGUUCCAUUUACAACUUGACUUCAGGUGAGUUGGACUCACAGUUGAUGAAGACAAUCUUGAUCAUGGUGAGCGUGAAGAAGGGCAGCGGGGCCACGUACACCUUCACCAGCAGGGCCGUCAACAGGAACACCACCAGGAUGACCGUCAGGCUGCCCGAGAUGCGCAACUUCUGAGGGAUCCUGCAUGAACGGAUGGACAUGCCCAUGCAGGAUGAAGCCACAGGUCAGCACUAUGUGAGUGAGACCAGGUAGAACCGCAAACGAACUUCUCAUCUUCUAAAAGAUGUCUGACUCACCAUGGUGGCCGUCAUGAAGAAGUUCCACGGUAGGACGGAUCCCAAGCCCAGGAUGAAAAAAAUGAUCCACACGGCCUUGUAUCUGGGAAAGUUCACAUGGAGACACAAAGUCAUUCAGUUUAUAUCAACAAACAAUCUGUAAUUAGUUGGGGGUCUUCCAGCAAGGCCGGAUACAACGUCUUCAUGACAAUAGUUGAGAUACUUUAUUUGUAGGAGUUUGGCUUACUUGUCUUUGGGUGAGUUGAUGGUGGUCAUGGUUCCUUCUGGUUUGUGUGUGUAGUCUCGUCAGGGAUUUUUAGUCAGCAAGGCACCAGCAAACACACCAAAAUAUAUUUUACCAACAGCUGCUGCAUGUGGCGCAACCUGGAAACGUAAACAAGAUUGUGAACACAUUGACAGAAAUAAGAAAAAGGAAUGUAAUGCUUGGAGUCCACUGGGCCGGCGCCAGUUGGUGCCAGUUCACGCCAAAGAUUAUGUGAUUGGCGCGUGGUGGCUUGCUGUGG